rnacentral:tRNA from 1 species
AACUAAUGAACUUGAACAAGUAUAUAUUUUGAAAAUAUAUGAAAGAAAAAGAACUUUCUAUUAGUUU